GGAGUUUUUGCUUCAACAGUGAUUGAACAGAACUUC
rfam:Oryzias latipes DNA, chromosome8, strain: Hd-rR.